rnacentral:rRNA from 1 species
AUGAACGCUGGCGGCGUGCCUAAUACAUGCAAGUCGAGCGAACAGACGAGGAGCUUGCUCCUCUGACGUUAGCGGCGGACGGGUGAGUAACACGUGGAUAACCUACCUAUAAGACUGGGAUAACUUCGGGAAACCGGAGCUAAUACCGGAUAAUAUAUUGAACCGCAUGGUUCAAUAGUGAAAGACGGUUUUGCUGUCACUUAUAGAUGGAUCCGCGCCGCAUUAGCUAGUUGGUAAGGUAACGGCUUACCAAGGCAACGAUGCGUAGCCGACCUGAGCGGGUGAUCGGCCACACUGGAACUGGGACACGGUCCAGGCUCCUACGGGAGGCAGCAGUAGGGAAUCUUCCGCAAUGGGCGAAAGCCUGACGGAGCAACGCCGCGUGAGUGAUGAAGGUCUUCGGAUCGUAAAACUCUGUUAUUAGGGAAGAACAAAUGUGUAAGGAACUAUGCACGUCUUGACGGUACCUAAUCAGAAAGCCACGGCUAACUACGUG